rnacentral:rRNA from 1 species
AUUGAACGCUGGCGGCAGGCCUAACACAUGCAAGUCGAGCGGCAGCGGGAAAGUAGCUUGCUACUUUUGCCGGCGAGCGGCGGACGGGUGAGUAAUGCCUGGGAAAUUGCCCAGUCGAGGGGGAUAACAGUUGGAAACGACUGCUAAUACCGCAUACGCCCUACGGGGGAAAGCAGGGGACCUUCGGGCCUUGCGCGAUUGGAUAUGCCCAGGUGGGAUUAGCUAGUUGGUGAGGUAAUGGUUCACCAAGGCGACGAUCCCUAGCUGGUCUGGGAGGAUGAUCAGCCGCACUGGAACGGAGGCACGGUCCAGACUCCUACGGGAGGCAGCAGUGGGGAAUAUUGCACAAUGGGGGAAACCCUGAUGCAGCCAUGCCGCGUGUGUGAAGAAGGCCUUCGGGUUGUAAAGCACUUUCAGCGAGGAGGAAAGGUCAGUAGCUAAUAUCUACUGGCUGUGACGUUACUCGCAGAAGAAGCACCGGCUAGCUCCGUGCCAGCCGCCGCAGUAAGAC